UACGGAGGGUGCGAGCGUUGUCCGGAAUCACUGGGCGUAAAGGGCGCGUAGGCGGUCCGGUAAGUCCGCUGUGAAAGUCGGGGGCUCAACCCUCGAAUCCCGGUGGAUACUGUCGGGCUAGAGUGCGGAAGAGGCGAGUGGAAUUCCUGGUGUAGCGGUGAAAUGCGCAGAUAUCAGGAAGAACACCUAUGGCGAAGGCAGCUCUCUGGGACGGUACUGACGCUGAGACGCGAAAGCGUGGGGAGCGAACAGG
rnacentral:rRNA from 1 species